UACAGAGGGUGCAAGCGUUAAUCGGAAUUAUUGGGCGUAAAGGGUGCGUAGGCGGUUUGGUAAGUCUUAUGUGAAAUCUAUGGGCUCAACUCAUAGUCUGCAUGAGAAACUGCCGGGCUUGAGUGUGGGAGAGGUGAGUGGAAUUUCCGGUGUAGCGGUGAAAUGCGUAGAUAUCGGAAGGAACACCUGUGGCGAAAGCGGCUCACUGGACCACAACUGACGCUGAUGCACGAAAGCUAGGGGAGCAAACAGG
rnacentral:rRNA from 1 species